rnacentral:rRNA from 1 species
GAUGAACGCUGACAGAAUGCUUAACACAUGCAAGUCUACUUGAACUUCGGUUUGGGUGGCGGACGGGUGAGUAACGCGUAAAGAACUUGCCUCACAGUUAGGGACAACAUUUGGAAACGAAUGCUAAUACCUGAUAUUAUGAUUUUAGGGCAUCCUAAAAUGAUGAAAGCUAUAUGCGCUGUGAGAGAGCUUUGCGUCCCAUUAGCUAGUUGGAGAGGUAACGGCUCACCAAGGCGAUGAUGGGUAGCCGGCCUGAGAGGGUGAACGGCCACAAGGGGACUGAGACACGGCCCUUACUCCUACGGGAGGCAGCAGUGGGGAAUAUUGGACAAUGGACCAAAAGUCUGAUCCAGCAAUUCUGUGUGCACGAUGACGUUUUUCGGAAUGUAAAGUGCUUUCAGUUGGGAAGAAAAAAAUGACGGUACCAACAGAAGAAGUGACGGCUAAAUACGUG